AGGCGUGGCUUCCGGAGCUAACGCGUUAAGUAGUCCGCCUGGGGAGUACGGCCGCAAGGUUAAAACUCAAAUGAAUUGACGGGGGCCCGCACAAGCGGUGGAGCAUGUGGUUUAAUUCGAUGCAACGCGAAGAACCUUACCUACUCUUGACAUCCUGAGAACUUCCCAGAGAUGGAUUGGUUCCUUCGGGAACUGUGAGACAGGUGCUGCAUGGCUGUCGUCAGCUCGUGUUGUGAAAUGUUGGGUUAAGUCCCGCAACGAGCGCAACCCUUAUCCUUUGUUGCCAGCGGUUAGGCCGGGAACUCAAAGGAGACUGCCAGUGAUAAACUGGAGGAAGGUGGGGAUGACGUCAAGUCAUCAUGGCCCUUACGAGUAGGGCUACACACGUGUUCCAAUGGCGCAUACAAAGAGAAGAGACCUCGCGAGAGCAAGCGGUCUUCAUAAACUGUGUUGUAGUCCGGAUUGGAGUUUGCAAUUGGACUCCAUGAAGUGGGAAUCGCUAGUAAUCGUGGAUCAGAAUGCCACGGUGAAUACGUUCCCGGCCCUUGUACACACCGCCCGUCACACCAUGGGA
rnacentral:rRNA from 1 species